UACGUAGGGGGCAAGCGUUGUCCGGAAUCAUUGGGCGUAAAGCGCGCGUAGGCGGCCCGGUAAGUCCGCUGUAAAAGUCCAGGGCUCAACCCUGGAAAGCCGGUGGAUACUGUCGGGCUAGAGUCCGGAAGAGGCGAGUGGAAUUCCUGGUGUAGCGGUGGAAUGCGCAGAUAUCAGGAGGCACACCGAUGGCGAAGGCAGCUCGCUGGGACGGUACUGACGUUGAGGCGCGAAAGCGUGGGGAGCGAACAGG
rnacentral:rRNA from 1 species